AAGGAGUCCAACAAUCAUGCGAGUGUUUGGGUGGCAAACCCGAGCGCGUAAUGAAAGUGAAUGUAGGAGGGAUCCGUAAGGUGCACCUUCGACCGGUCUGGAUUUUUUUGAAAGAUCUGAGUAAGAGCAUGAUUGCUGGGACCCGAAAGAUGGUGAACUAUGCCUGAAUAGGGUGAAGCCAGAGGAAACUCUGGUGGAGGCUCGUAGCGGUUCUGACGUGCAAAUCGAUCUUCAAAUUUUGGUCUAGGGGCGAAAGACUAAUCGAACCAGCUAGUCGGUGGUUCCCUC
rnacentral:misc_RNA from 1 species